rnacentral:misc_RNA from 1 species
CGAGCGCAUGAGUUGUGCUGGACCUGUGACUACCGGGAGGACCCCCGCUGUUGUGCGGCCGACUGCCGGUGCCAGUGUCCCUUACAAUCGUUGGCNUAUUGUAUGCCUAUCGUUGGCACGAGUGCUUGCGUGCUGCUACCAGUAACACUGGAAGUUGCAUUGCUAAAUGUUGGUUUUGCCGUGCAUGCCCANAAAGCAUGUCACGUCAACUAUAAAGGGCUCAUGGCGUUGCCUCAUGUAGCUGGUCGUAUAGGCUAGCAGCAUCAAGGCCACCUCAUGGUCGCUAUUGGUCUCGGAUGUGGCUAACUUUGNAAGGCUGCAGGUGCUUUGGCACCCCAUGCCUACNNNAAAUAGUCCAUNUUGGAAACAACGACAGUUGGCCUAGCUAAAGCCUCGUGUGGAAGCUAGUGCUUGCUCGUCGAUGAGGACGUGC